AGGACAGUGUUACUACACGGGAACUCCCACACGGACGAAGGGCUCUGUUCUCGUCAGUCUUCAGGAGGUACGACUAAGGAGGACAGUGUUACUACACGGGAACUCCCACACGGACGAAGGGCUCUGUUCUCGUCAGUCUUCAGGAGGUACGCCUAAGGAGGACAGUGUUACUACACGGGAACUCCCACACGGACGAAGGGCUCUGUUCUCGUCAGUCUUCAGGAGGUACGCCUAAGGAGAACAGUGUUACUACACGGGAACUCCCACACGGACGAAGGGCUUUGUUCUCGUCAGUCUUCAGGAGGUACGCCUAAGGAGAACAGUGUUACUACACGGGAACUCCCACACGGACGAAGGGCUCUGUUCUCGUCAGUCUUCAGGAGGUACGACUAAGGAGGACAGUGUUAC